rnacentral:rRNA from 1 species
CCUACGGGUGGCAGCAGUGGGGGAUAUUGCACAAUGGGGGAAACCCUGAUGCAGCGACGCCGCGUGUGGGAAGACGGUCCUCUGGAUUGUAAACCACUGUCCCCAGGGACGAAGAUGACGGUACCUGGGGAGGAAGCUCCGGCUAACUACGUGCCAGCAGCCGCGGUAAUACGUAGGGAGCGAGCGUUGUCCGGAAUUACUGGGUGUAAGGGGAGCGUAGGCGGGACUGCAAGUUGGGUGUCAAAUCUACCGGCUCAACCGGUAGCCGCACUCAAAACUGCAGUUCUUGAGUGAAGUAGAGGCAGGCGGAAUGCCUAGUGUAGCGGUGAAAUGCGUAGAUAUUAGGAGGAACACCAGUGGCGAAGGCGGCCUGCUGGGCUUUUACUGACGCUGAGGCUCGAAAGUGUGGGGAGCAAACAGGAUUAGAUACCCCUGUAGUC